rnacentral:lncRNA from 1 species
GGGAAAUCGAGGGAGGGCGCAAGGUGGAGGUGGGGAUACAGUUACCCCGGGACGGGCGGGGGGGCUUUGAACAUGCUCCCAGCGCAGGGAAAUAAACUCCCUCCCAUGUCUUCAAACUGCUCCUACUUCUGGUUUUCAUUUGCCAUCAUUCACUCUUCUCUCCCUGGCUGUAAGCGAAGGAGGACGGCUUCGAGAGCGGCCAUCUAGAAAUGAUAGGAAUUUACAAAUGAACUCAGCUCUGGGGCUCAGCUUCUCAUCAGCCCUCCACGACAAAUUAAAGCCAUGGAGGCCAAUUUACACACAUUCCCUUUCCCUAUCAUCAGCCCGAGAGGCCCUUCUGGAGCUGCCGCUGUCUCCCCGCAGCUGGACGCUUGUUAUCACUGGUGGGUUUGGGUGUCUCGCCUGGCCCCUGCUGGACACUGCCACACAGGAGCAAAGCAGAACCCAGAGAAUGCCGGGUCGUCUUGGGAAAUCUGAUGGUGAGGAGCAACUGGAACAGAUACCCCAAAGCACGAUACAGGGCUGACCGCCUGCACCUGCUGGGGAAGCCUCUGACGACCCAGCUGCUCCCACUGGAGCCACCAUCCUUCAGCACCAAUGACACCUGGAGAGAGGUGACAUGGUGACUCAGGCAGAGCGGUGCCACUUACUGGAGGGCCUUGGACAACCAACAGUCUCUCUGUACUUCAGUUUCCUUUGUGUAAAGAAACAGGAUUUUGUUAGUGCACGAGACAGGUAAGGUGUGCCCCAGCAUUUGUGAAUGGUGGCGUUGGAACGGGUCAGUAUGACCUGGUUGCCCUAUGACCACCCUGGUUAGGGGGUUUGGCGUCUUGAAAGAGCUCAUGGUGCAGGCUGCGUGUGUGGCUGGGGUCCGCCUUGGUGGGUGGGGGCCCAGGGCCAGGCACUUUCCACACACGAGCUGGACAAUCUCUAAGCCACUGGCUGGCGGUGACUGGGACUCUAGCUGUCAUUAAUGGGCCAUUCAGCACGUUCCAGCAACACUCGCUGUCCUACUGAAUCCUCCUCUCAGUUCCCGCUCACAGCAUGCCUCUCUCUGGCACCACCCCCACCCCCAUCCCCACCCUGCAGCUGAGGGAGCCAGGCCUGGGGAGAUCCGCUGGGGCGCUGCAGAGCCAUGAUCCGAACUUGGACCCCAGCGACUUCAAGACAAGACUUUCUUCCAGGAGACCAAGUGUGGAACAAAUAAAUGAGUAGAUGCAGGAAUGAAUGAACA